AUUGAACGCUGGCGGCAGGCCUAACACAUGCAAGUCGAGCGGAUGACGGGAGCUUGCUCCUUGAUUCAGCGGCGGACGGGUGAGUAAUGCCUAGGAAUCUGCCUGGUAGUGGGGGACAACGUUUCGAAAGGAACGCUAAUACCGCAUACGUCCUACGGGAGAAAGCAGGGGACCUUCGGGCCUUGCGCUAUCAGAUGAGCCUAGGUCGGAUUAGCUAGUAGGUGAGGGAAGGGCUCACCUAGGCGACGAUCCGUAACUGGCCUGAGAGGAUGAUCAGUCACACUGGAACUGAGACACGGUCCAGACUCCUACGGGAGGCAGCAGUGGGGAAUAUUGGGCAAUGGGCGAAAGCCUGAUCCAGCCAUGCCGCGUGUGUGAAGAAGGUCUUCGGAUUGUAAAGCACUUUAAGUUGGGAGGAAGGGUUGUACGUUAAUACCGUGCAAUUUUGACGUUACCGACAGAAUAAGCACCGGCUAACUCUGUGCCAGCCGCCGCAGUAACAC
rnacentral:rRNA from 1 species